UUUCCGUAGGUGAACCUGCGGAAGGAUCAUUAUUGUGUAAUCGAGGUGCGAGGGCUGUCGCUGACCCGAAAGGUCGUGCACGCCCGAGUGCCCUCACACACAUCCAUCUCACCCCUAUGUGCACCACCGCGUGGGUCCCCCUUUGGCUUGUUCGGAGGGGGGCUUACGUUUUCACACAAACUUUGUAUGCAGUGUAGAAUGUAUUUUUUGUUUUUGCGAUCACGCAAUCAAUACAACUUUCAACAACGGAUCUCUUGGCUCUC
rnacentral:misc_RNA from 1 species